CAGGCGUGAGCCACUGUACCUGGCCCCCAAGAUUCUUUCUUUUCUUUUUUUCUUUUUCUUUUUUUUUCUUUUUUGAUGGAGCCUCGCUAUGUUGCGCAGGCUGCAGCACAGUGGUGCGAUCUCAGCUCACUGCAACCUCAGCUUCCUGGGUUCAAGCGAUUCUCCUGCCUCAGCCUCCCAAGUAGGUGGGAUUAUAGCCGCCUGCCACCACGCCUGGCUAAUUUUUGUAUUUUUAGUAGAGACGGAGUUUCACCAUAUUGGUCAGGGUGGUCUCAAACUCCUGACCUCGGGUGAUCCACCACCCCCAUCAGCCUCCCAAAGUGCUGGGAUUACAGGUGUGAGCCCAGCCUAAAUAGUAUUUUUUAAAUUGUAGCAAUAGACAUUUUAUUAGAAAAAGAAUUUUACUGCCAUCUGCUGGAAAGUUGUCUUCAUAACUAUAUGAAAUCUGGGUUGUCCAAGAUAGGAAUAGCAUCCUUUAGAUGUUCCAAUCUGCACAAUUGUCCACCCUUCUCUGGAAUGUCUCGUGGAACAGUCAGCCCAGGUGUCUGUCCUCUCAGUAAGAUCCUCAUGGGCAAAAAGCACAGCCUCUCUUCCGUCCCUCAUCCUAAAGCUGCCUAUGUCUGUAAUGAUUUCCUUCUCUUACAGACGCUGGUUCACCAUUCAGAGCAACCAACUGGUUUACCAGAAGAAGUACAAGGUGAGUGGACCUGGGUCCUGGAUGCCUGGGCCCCAGGGACGUGGAGAAGAAGUUCCUGACCAAGCUGCCUGAGAUUCGAGGGCGAAGAGGUGGCCGGGGGCGCCCAAGGGGGCAGCCUCCUGUGCCCCCAAAGCCUUCCAUCAGGCCCCGGCCAGGGAGCUUGAGAUCCAAGCCAGGUAUAGGGUUGGUUGGGCAUUCAUUGAGCAUCUGCUGUGUGCUCGGCAUCGUGCCAGGUAGCGCCGGGAGGCACAGAGUGUGAAGCCCAGGCCUUCCGCUGGACAAUGUCGGAGGGACCGGACUGCCGUUUCAGGGGUUACGGUGGAGUGUGACAUUAAGAAUGAGAAGGAAUGUGGGGCUGGGCGUGGGCAGGGAGGGUAAGGGGUGCCAACAGCACAAGAAAAGGAGAGAGAGAGGGGGUGGGUUUGGCUGGAGCGUCAGGGGUUGAGAGCUGAGGCCAAGUGUGGUUGGACCAGAUGAGGUGAUGAUGCCGUCUCUCCCCCACACCCUAGGGACUCGUACACAUGCAUACGCAUACUUACACAUACCCACACUUGCAUCACUCUAUUCC
rnacentral:lncRNA from 1 species